GUAGGGUGCAAGCGUUAAUCGGGAAUUACUGGGGGCGUAAAGCGUGCGCAGGCGGUUGUGCGAGACAGAUGUGAAAUCCCCCGGGGCUCAACCUGGGAAUUGCAUUUGUGACUGUACGGCUAGAGUGUGUCAGAGGGGGGUAGAAUUCCACGUGUAGCAGUGAAAUGCGUAGAGAUGUGGAGGAAUACCGAUGGCGAAGGCAGCCCCCUGGGAUAACACUGACGCUCAUGCACGAAAGCGUGGGGAGCAAACAGGAUUAGAUACCCUGGUAGUCCACGCCCUAAACGAUGUCAACUAGUUGUCGGGUCUUAAUUGACUUGGUAACGCAGCUAACGCGUGAAGUUGACCGCCUGGGGAGUACGGUCGCAAGAUUA
rnacentral:rRNA from 1 species